GACGAACCGUGCGAACGUUGUUCGGAAUAACUGGGCUUAAAGGGUGCGUAGGCGGGUUUGCAAGUCUGUGGUGAAAUACUCCCGCUUAACGGGAGAACUGCCGUGGAUACUGCGGACCUCGAGGAAGAUAGGGGCGUGCGGAACAGUUGGUGGAGCGGUGAAAUGCGUUGAUAUCAACUGGAACUCCGGUGGCGAAGGCGGCACGCUGGAUCUUUUCUGACGCUGAGGCACGAAAGCUAGGGGAGCAAACGGG
rnacentral:rRNA from 1 species